UUAUUACAAUAAUUCUUGCUUCAAAGGAAAUAAAACUUUACAAAUCCAAGACCUUAAAGACUUUGAUGUCAUUAAGCCAAUUUUCUUUAAUCAAAGAAAAUUACCACAAAUCUUGUGCUUGAAAAUAUAAGGACUAUACAAUUAAAUAUGCAAGAAACAAAAGAAGAAUAUCGGAGAUUACCUCAACCGGGCUUAUCACACCGAGUCACCACCAUCCAAUGACGCGGGAUCGACGGUCUUCGUUCAAUCUCAACCAGGAAAGCUAAUUUCGGUCAUGUUCUUCAAUAGAACUCUUAUGCACUCGCAAGAUCUUUGGGAUCAAUUCCCCCAAACUACUUGAGACAAAAAAAAUAUCCCUUCUCUGUUUUUCUUAAAACCUAUGUCUUUGAAUAAAAUUGGGAUAGAUGAGAACUAAUUGGAGAGAGAAACGUGCCUCCCCUUUUUUUUAUUGAGUCAAAGAUGAGAGAGAGAGGAUGGGGGCGUGCCCCUUGAACAUAGGAUCAGGGAGAGA
rnacentral:lncRNA from 1 species